UUAAUUGAAGAGUUUGAUCAUGGCUCAGAUUGAACGCUGGCGGCAGGCCUAACACAUGCAAGUCGAGCGGCAGCACAAAGGAACUUGUUCCUUGGGUGGCGAGCGGCGGACGGGUGAGUAAUGCCUGGGGAAUUGCCCGGUAGAGGGGGAUAACCAUUGGAAACGAUGGCUAAUACCGCAUAACCUCGCAAGAGCAAAGCAGGG
rnacentral:rRNA from 1 species